rnacentral:rRNA from 1 species
AGCCUGGGGAAUUGAUCUAGGUGAGACCUGCCCGGUGAAUUAUUUUAACGGCCGCGGUACUUUGACCGUGCUAAGGUAGCGUAAUCAGUUGACUUUUAAAUGAAGUCUUGUAUGAAUGGAUCUUUGGGAUUAAGCUGUCUCUACCUUAUUCUAUUGAAAUUACUAACUAGGUGAAAAGGCCUAGGAAUGAAAAAAGACGAGAAGACCCUUAGAGUUUUUACUAAAGUUUUUGUUGGGGCGACAAGAAGACAUAUAUAACUCUUCUAUUAUACGAUUGCAUGCCGAUCUUAUUAAGAAUGGAUAAACUACCUGAGGGAUAACAGCAUAAUCCAGUAUGGGUUUGUGACCUCGAUGUUGGACUAGGAAUCUUAUGCCCUAGCCGGGUGUAAGGAAGGUUCUGUUCGAACUAUUAUUCCU